GCCUCCGUGGCGAAAUUUGCUAGCGUGUUCGGCUGUUAACAGAAUGGUUGGUGGUUCAAGCACAUCCGGUGGCA